rnacentral:rRNA from 1 species
UUGAACGCUGGCGGCAGGCCUAACACAUGCAAGUCGAGCGGUAGCACAGAGAGCUUGCUCUCGGGUGACGAGCGGCGGACGGGUGAGUAAUGUCUGGGAAACUGCCUGAUGGAGGGGGAUAACUACUGGAAACGGUAGCUAAUACCGCAUAACGUCGCAAGACCAAAGUGGGGGACCUUCGGGCCUCAUGCCAUCAGAUGUGCCCAGAUGGGAUUAGCUAGUAGGUGGGGUAACGGCUCACCUAGGCGACGAUCCCUAGCUGGUCUGAGAGGAUGACCAGCCACACUGGAACUGAGACACGGUCCAGACUCCUACGGGAGGCAGCAGUGGGGAAUAUUGCACAAUGGGCGCAAGCCUGAUGCAGCCAUGCCGCGUGUGUGAAGAAGGCCUUCGGGUUGUAAAGCACUUUCAGCGGGGAGGAAGGCGGUGAGGUUAAUAACCUUGUCGAUUGACGUUACCCGCAGAAGAAGCACCGGCUAACUCCGUGCCAGCAGCCGCGGUAAUACGGAGGGUGCAAGCGUUAAUCGGAAUUACUGGGCGUAAAGCGCACGCAGGCGGUCUGUCAAGUCGGAUGUGAAAUCCCCGGGCUCAACCUGGGAACUGCAUUCGAAACUGGCAGGCUAGAGUCUUGUAGAGGGGGGUAGAAUUCCAGGUGUAGCGGUGAAAUGCGUAGAGAUCUGGAGGAAUACCGGUGGCGAAGGCGGCCCCCUGGACAAAGACUGACGCUCAGGUGCGAAAGCGUGGGGAGCAAACAGGAUUAGAUACCCUGGUAGUCCACGCCGUAAACGAUGUCGAUUUGGAGGUUGUGCCCUUGAGGCGUGGCUUCCGGAGCUAACGCGUUAAAUCGACCGCCUGGGGAGUACGGCCGCAAGGUUAAAACUCAAAUGAAUUGACGGGGGCCCGCACAAGCGGUGGA